UAGAUAAAAAAAUGGUAAAAAUCAUUAGUUUCUGGUCUGUAUGGUUUUGCAGUACAGAUUAAUUCCCAAUUGAUAGUAUGUCUUUGUUUCUGUCUUUAAUAGACCAGAUUAAUUUACUAAGACUUGUUUGGAAUCUUUUAUUUUCAUCUCUAAAUGAACUCAAAUGAUUUGGCAGUCUCCUCUU